GGGAAGUUGGCAGAGCGGUCUAUUGCGCCGGUCUUGAAAACCGUUGGAUGUUAAUAGCGUCCCCAGGGUUCGAAUCCCUGGCUUCCCGCCA
rnacentral:tRNA from 1 species